GAUGAACGCUGGCGGCGUGCCUAAUACAUGCAAGUCGAGCGCACAGACGCGGAGUUUGCUCCUCUGACGUUAGCUGCUGACUGGUGAGUAACACAUUGAUACCCUACCUAUCUGCCUGUUAUCACUUCGUGAAACCGGAGCUAAUUCCGUAUAAUCUCUUAAUCUUCAUUGUUCCAUAGUGAAAGACUGUUUUGCUGUCACUUAUAGCUGGUUCCUCGCCGUAUUAUCUAUUUGCUAAGGUAACGGCUUACCAAGUCAACGAUGCGUAGCCGAUCUGCGAGGGGGAUGGGCAAAACGGGAACGGAGAAAAGGUCAAGACUCCUAAGGGAGGCGGCAGUAGGGAAUCUUCGGAAAGGGGCGAAAGCCUGACGGAGAAACGCGGCGGGAGUGAUGAAGGUCUUCGGAUCGUAAAACUCUGUUAUAAGGGAAGAACAAAUGUGUAAGUAAAUAUGCACGUAGUGACGGUACCUAAUCAGAAAGCCACGGCUAACUACGUG
rnacentral:rRNA from 1 species